rnacentral:rRNA from 1 species
GACAGAGGGUGCAAACGUUGUUCGGAUUUACUGGGCGUAAAGCGCGUGUAGGCGGCAUGGUAAGUGGGAUGUGAAAGCCCUGGGCUCAACCUAGGAAGUGCAUUCCAAACUGCCAAGCUAGAGUCACGGAGAGGAAGGCGGAAUUCUCGGUGUAGAGGUGAAAUUCGUAGAUAUCGAGAGGAACACCAGUGGCGAAGGCGGCCUUCUGGACGAUGACUGACGCUAAGACGCGAAAGCGUGGGGAGCAAACAGG